UCCGUUGCAACGGAAAAGUCACUUGCAACGGAUUAUCCGUUGCAAUUUAAAAGAAUUUGCAACGGAUAAUCCGUUGCAAAUAAAA
rnacentral:sRNA from 1 species